UUCCUACGUGUACUGGGUGACGUGCAAAUGACAUGGUUAUUCUAAUCUCAAUAUAUGUAUUUUUGCCUUAGAGCAGUGGUUCUCAAAGUGUACUUCUCCAAGAAGUGCAGCAGCAGCCCUGGUCACUUGUCAGAAAUUCUGGAUCCCCACCCCAGACCUACUGAAUCAGAAAUUCUGGCUUCCCACUCCAGACCUACUGAAUCAAAACCUCCUGGUUUGGGAGGCAUUCUGACCCACGCUAAAGUUUACAAACCACUACCUUAGAGUCACUGUUCACAUUGGAAAGCACCUAAACCCCACUGUAUUCUUGGCCACUGAGCCACCCCUUGGUUCCUAAUUGGUCACCUAAUUCUCUCUCCAGAAUGAGAGGUUCACCUGUUCACCUGCUCAUUUUAAAGAGUUCUGAUGUCUAGCUGAGUCCUUGUGAACUCUUGUCCAAGAGCCUAGGCCAUUCCUUUAGACUCCCAAUAUCUUCUGUCUCCCUUCCUCACCUUCUUCUCCUCCUAAUCCUCCCCUGUCCCAUUGAACCAAGAUACUGCCUUUGCCUAGGAUAUCUUCAUUGUAUUACCCACAUCAAAUCCUUAGCUUUCAGUGCUACUUUGUGCUAAGUCCGUCACACCUGACACUUACUCAUCCCAAGUCCUUGAACUUUGAAAUUUAGACUUCUGUCUAACUGCCCUGAGGGUCAGCUCUAUAACUAAUUCCAUUCCCACUAAUUCUGCUCCAGCCUAGUCCUGGCUUCUUCCUGCUCCUCUCCCCACAGUCCUGUGAUUGAAUCUCAGCAUGUCUUGCAGUCUUAAUGGCAGAAAUAGGCUCUUUCAGGCACCACUCUGAGAGGAGUCCUUAACAGAUCCACCCACUUUGGAGACCAGUCCUGGCAGCUGCUACAACCUGACUCAGAAACUUCUUGAUAAUACUUGAAACCAGCAUGGGACCUGGAACAUGUGCCCCACAGAUCUGAGGACUGAUGGAGCUAACUGAUGACUGGUGUCUGGGAAGGCAGCAUGUUUGCCACCCUGUUCUCACUUCUGAAGGAGCUGAAAGAUUUAGUUUCCAAAGCCUCUGGCCAGAUCACACUCCCCCUCCCCGCAAGUGAAUGCCUGGGAAUCAUCUCUUUCUCACAGACAGGAAGCCCUUAUCUCACCAUGAAGACUUGGCAGCAAAGACUGGUAAAGAGGAAAGAACAAACUGGGAGUCAGUUUUCCUUUUGAUAAAUGUAUUCGCUGUAGAAAAUCGGAGUCCACUUCAAUAAAUG
rnacentral:lncRNA from 1 species